GUCUUCGUGGUGUAACGGUCAGUACACUGGGCUUUUAUUCGAGAGGUCCGAGGUUCGAGUCCCGGUGAAGACA
rnacentral:tRNA from 1 species